UUCUCUCUGCAAAUACGUGGCUUAUUAAACAAUGAGCUGGGUUUGUUUCUCCUGUGGCUGCAGGUAGGAUCCCAGGCUGUGUCAGCAGGAAAAGGAUAAAUUGUCUGAUUUUCUGAAGGAAUGCAGAGUGGACACCACUUCCCGAGAACAGUCUGCUUGCUCUUCUCACCUGCACCCAGUGACAGGGCAAAGGCGCAAGGAGACCCCGUGCUGUUCUAUGAUGACAUUUUCUGCCUUGAGCCAAAGCAACCCAGUGCUGCCCUGGCUCUUCAGUCUCUGCAAUGUGGACCAGCAGCCCCUCGCUGCAGAUUCCAAGUGUCAGCAGUGGAUUGGCCUGAACCAAAUCAGCGGAGCUGCUGAAGGAAUCUGAAUUGGGAAGAUCCAUGCUGGCUCUAAGACAUGAGGAGAAGGGAGCAGGACAGCAGAUUGAGGCAAGCCAGGCAGUAACAUGUCUCCUGGACAGCAUCCCAGCUCUCCAGCAGCCAUCCCCUUGUAUUGCUGCCAAGCACAGAAACGUGAGCCUGAGAGAAUCUCAGACCAGAGCGUGGUGCCUGCAGACAGAUCCUCACUGUAAAGACACGAGGGUGAACUGAGAAGCCCACGCUGGGGUCACACUUUGAAUGUUUACUGUUUCCUGCUGUGAGACCUUGGGACUUGAUCACAAAGGUGAUUAAGGCUUCACAUCUCCUUGCAGGCCAUGGCACUCAAUGCAGGGGAGGAACUUCAUCUCUACAUCCAGUUUAACCCAGCUUAUGAGAACAAUCUGAAUAGCUGGGUGGCCAAGAGGGUUCUCCGGGAUGUGCUUCAUGGAGCAUCCUCAAGAGGAGCAGGUCACUGUUCAGGGAGAAGUCUACAUCCCAAAUGUCCAUCUCCAGACCCAGGCCAUGGACUUUGGCUGCAACAUGAAUGACACUGAACAAGUGCUGUAUAUGGAGAUGACCAACUGCAGCCCAAUUCCUGCCCAGUACCACUGGUCAUUCCAGACAGACAGCCAGGUGGACACCAUAAGGAGCUCUGUGGGACCAUUGGACUGUGAGCACAUCCUGGGAGUAUGCCUGCCUCGCUCUAGGUAAAGCAGGGAGGAAUUCUCAUGUACCAUCUUUACCUUCUCUUUCCGUGCCCCAUGGUGACCUGCUGCAGAAUCCCACCUGGAGUCUGGGCUGGGGCUUCUCUGCCUGCCCAGGAUGUGCCUCCUCAUCGCGGGCCGGUGGAGACACCUUCUGGGGGCCAGCAGAAAUGGUUCACAUGAGCGGGAACGUUUCCUCUGUGGUGAGGACUUCAGGACGUGCUCUAUCAUUUCACCUCCCUCCUUUUCUCACGCUGCUCUUGGCCCCAUGGAAGGACAGCAGGGAACCUGCCAGCCACGCUGUGAGCUUGUCCUCAGGGUUCAGCUUCUGAGACCCAGCUUCCCUCUCCUGCAGCCUUUGCCCUGAGAAGAGGACAGAUCGAGAAUCUCUCUCUUUCCAUGGCUGGAAGCCCUGUGCUUGCCUGUCAGAUCCAACCAGGAGCAAAGCAGGCUGCUGCUCUCAGGGGGUUAUGCUCAACCAGGUCUUUGGUUUCCCACUGUUUCCUAAUAUUGUUAACCCUUGCAGCCAUACUCUCUGUGUUUUCAAGCUCUCAGCACUUGCCCCCAUGAAGAUAUCUUAAAAUGGUGAGUAUCCAGAUCCUGGCCACAAAGACAGCUGGAACACAUCUCUCCUCCUCUGCUCUCCAUUACAGGAGUACAGGAGUCAAUAGUCAUCUGUUUGUAGAGCUGAUUUUUGAAGUAGCUGCUAAGAUUGUAGUGGGUGCAGAUUUCUUUAAAUAGCACCUCCAAAUUACAGCUGUCGGGGCUUGUUUAAUUUUGAACGAAGACUACAAAUUGUAUUUCUGUUAGAGCUACUGAUUUCUUAACAAGAACCUUUGGCUCCAGUCUGAUUGAGAAGUAUUUUUCUGUCUCAUAGAGAAUCAGGGCUUCACCUGAUGCUUACAAAUCCCCUGGCUGCUGGGCAAAGCGUGAGGAACAAGAAGAUUUAAUGGCUUCUAUCAUCUGUACAAUCACUGCAAGUCAGAAUAACCACAGUAAAGUCAGUGGAGACUACUUUCAGGGUCAUAUUUGGUCCAGAGAGGGAAGUUUGGCUGCCUAAGGAUGAUCUGUACAAGGACCUGCUGUGCCAGCCUGCAGUGCAUCUGAUUAUGGCUGGCCCUGGUCCACCUCACCUUGGAGCAAGUGGCUGAGGAGCUUUAGCACCUGCACCCCGAAAAACUGGAUGAGCCACAUCCCAUAGGAAUACUCUGAGAGAGGCAUGAGCCAUGUUGGAUGAAGCCUGAGGGGCCUCAGACCCUUCCCUGACUUUUCUUUUUGAAAGUAAUGGUACAGCUGUGGUCUGUGGGUUUCAGCAGGAGCUGAGAACUCUCAGUGAACUCAAAAAUCAAAUCUUGCAAACAUCCUUGAGCUGUCCAUGGCUUGUUCCAAAGUGCCCUUUUAAUCUGCAUCUGGUUGCCUGAAGCAGAAAUUCAAAGUGCAUCAUGUAAGGCCAUUUAAAUACCUCCUGGGUGUGUGCUCUCUGAUGCUUUGUCCUGGGAUCCCCUGGAAAGAGUUGGUGCUUUGUUGGGAGGCUGGUUUUCACACAGUACCCUGGCUGAGCCUAAUGGGAGGUCUCUGGGGGCCUGCUCUAGGGAAGUGGUAUCGACACUGUUGACUGUCCAGGAGUUGGCCUUGAUGAUCCUUGUGGGUCCUUUCCAAAUCAGGAUGUUCCAUCAAACUCCUGCAUUUAAUUUGGAAGGGGGUUGGUGGCUUGUGGUGCAUGUCCUCAGUGCUGGCAGGGACCUCAGGCACUGUCAUUACCUCUCUGUCCUGAUGUUGGUGGCUCUUACACAGCCUGAGCUGGCAGGGUCGUGUCAUCCCAUGUGAGUCUUCACAUGAGGCUUGCAGAAGCAGUGUGAUUUCUAUCUGCUCUAUUUUGGGAGGUGGAUGUGGGAAGUGGUGUAAAGCUGUGUCCUGAGCAGGCUCAGAAACCACCACAGAGGCUGAGACUUUUUGGAUUUUUUGGUAACAUCUCAGAGGCUGGGACCAGUAGGUGUCAUAGAGCUAUCCUGGCCCUUGUAGGAAAGAUUCCUUUCUAGCUGGUGUCAAUCCACCUGUGCUUCCAUUAAAUUCCCACAUUAAUUCCUGGA